rnacentral:rRNA from 1 species
AAACCGUUCAGGGGUAAACCUGAGAAACCCAAAAGAUCGAAUGGGGAGAUUCAUCGUCAGCUCAUUUUGUAUAUAUAUGAGUUAUGAUAUGGGUUACUACUUGUAGUAUUGCCUGUACAUUCUUGUAUAUUUUAUUGCAAGAUGUUGUCGGCGUGCACUUCUCCCCUAGUAGGACGUCGCGACCCGUUGAGUGUCGGUCUACGGCCCGAGUGGUAGCCUUUAAUUCUUGUAAUUAAAGACCCUUGGUGUUUCCUGGCUGGCUACUCGGCGGUAUUCGUACGGUAUUAAGCCGCAUUUAUGCGUUCAUAUCCGUCGCAAGCGCGGUCAAUUUUUAGUAGUACGGACCUAGUGCCGUCGCUAUAAUUGAUCAGCUGUUGGUUGUACGGUAUUCUAGGACUGGCUUAACAUAUACCGGUCUGCGAUGCUACUGCUUUGGGUACUUUCAGGA